CACACUCUCGCCCCUGGGACCCAGCUCGGCGCAGGGCGGGGGCUCUGCCCGGUUUCUGCCGCUUUCCCAGGCGCGGGACCACGGCUUCCCGAGCUCCCGGAAGGACGAACGCACAACGCUUUGCUCAAGUCCCCGCAGUGUUCUGUCAAUCAGAGCCAGCGUUUUCAUGCCAGGGCUCAACUCCCGAGGAGCCAAUGCAGGCCAGGUGGACUGAGCAGGACUGAGAGGUGAAGACUCUUCUUUGAUGGAGUGCAGUACAGAAACAGACAGAGGGCUGGAUUUUGCCUACCCUUGACCUUUGAUGGAGGGUGAACAUAGGAGGGAAUGAGAAACGUGGGAGGAGGACUCCCAUGACUGAGCUUCAGACCCUGGGCCGAAAGAACAGAGAUGCUCCCGGUCACACAGCCCCCCAGGGACGAAGAACUACCUCAGGAGUGGCUCAGCGGAAACGAAUCCGACUAGGAACCAUGAGGUUGCGGGUUCGAUCUCUGGCCUUGCUCAGUGGGUUAAGGAUCUGGCAUUGCCUUGGGUUGUGGUGUAGGUUGCAGAUGUGGCCCAGUUCCUGAGUUGCUGUGGCUCUGGCAUAGGCUGGCAGUUACAGCUCCGAUUUGACCCCUAGCCUGGGAACCUCCAUAUGCCGCGGGUGCGGCCCUAGAAAAUACAAGACAGAUUAAAAAAAAAAAAAAAAAAAAAGAACUACCUCAGAGGGCAUGGGCUGCAGCUCAAUCACAUACACAAAGGCACCAACGUGAUGCCACAGAAAACUGGUAAACCUCGGAAAAGGAAGCAAGGCCUUCCCGCUCCAGUUUAUGCUGUUCCUACAGCGCCCUCUAGUGGCAGAGACUAACAAGCCAGGUUGCAAAGGACUGGAGGCUGCUUCCAUUCGACCUGCUGCUUCUCUCUGUGUCCACCUCCUCCCUCCUCCCUGAACCUUCCAGCUGCCAUCUUGCCUGAUGGAUGCCGUUGCGGUCCUGAGAGGCAGUCAGCAUCUUCUUUGGGUUGUGCUGUGGGGGAGGAGAUGGCGGGGGCGUGAUCAUUCCUUGCAUAGGUGGGCUUGGAAGCCAACAAGUUAUGGAAAAAAUGGUCGGGUUCUUUCUGAUGGUGGUUUACAGGUCCCAGUCUUCGUCUGAAGUGGUGAAUAUUGGACAAUGGCAGUAAGUGGCUUUCCAUUGCUCUCCGCUUUUGGUAGGACCUGGGAAAGUUGGGGGGCCCCCUGAAGGGGAAUCUCUGUCCCCGCCGUAGAUGUCUGGGUGCAUGCAGUCUUCUGCUACCUUUCUAAAGCAAACCUCUGGGGAGUUUCUGCUGUGGCUUAAUGGGAUCGGUGGUGUCUUGGGAGUUCUGGGACGCAAGUUCGAUCCCCACCCGGCACAGUGGUUUAAAGAUCCGGUGUUGCCACAGCUGUGGCUUAGGUUGUGACUGCUGCUUGGAUCUGAUCGCUGGCCCGGGAACUCCAUAGGCCAUGGGGUGGCCAAAAAUGAAAAUAAAUAAAACCAAAUAAAGCAAACCUCUGGCUCUCUGCUUUCUAAUAUAGUCCUGAAGUUCAUGUUGAAAAGAGUCAUGUUGAAAAAAGCGUUAGAAUUUUCCAUUACAUUGGCUAUGGGUGAUGCUCUGGAAUCGCCACCGUGCACUCGGUUACUGAGAUAAAGUUCCACAAACAGAUGGAACCCUCACUUCCUCAAGCCUAGGAGCCUUUGGGGUUGUGUAAGUAGGAAGUCCUGUGGGCCUGCAACAGGGCAGAGCCUCUGCUUAGAACCUCAAAAAGGAAGGAAGGAGCCCUAGAGCAGGGUGGAAGUUUUAUACUCAACUCGAGAAGAAUCCCAACUUCUUGGCAGCUCAGACUUCCCUCACAAUUUUUUUUGUCUUUUUAGGGCCACACCUGUGGCAUAUGUUAAGUUCCCAGUCUAGGGGUCGGCUUGGAACUGUAGCCGCUGGCCUACGCCCCAGCCACACCAGCUCUGAGCGA